UCAGAUGUAAGUGUUGAGCUUCAGAUGGUAAAGACAAUACUACAAUGACCUGACCAAAAGUCCAGAUGAUGAUGCAAUUAUUUGUAGUGAUUAACCCGGUCAAGCAGCUGCAGUGCGUUCAUGAUGUGUACAGGGUUGAUCAGUGGAGAGUAACAGCAGACGCCAGUUAACCUACCGAGGAUAAAAGACAUGAGGCCACUGGAUUGGGUUUCAACAAUUUUUUUUAUCCGUUUACUUUGAGUGUUGUUUAGUGUUAGCAUAAUGUGGAGCCCUAAUUCAUGUCAUUUUAAAAUCCUAUUUUUAAAAAAGCAGUUUGAUGAUAACCUCAUGUUCUUCAGUCUAUUAAGAUAUAUCUGCAUGUCAAUAGCGACCCCCACAUCCACACCACCUCUGCUUUCGUGUGCAACAGCAUUUUAGUUGUCUGCCAGAAGCAUUCAUAAAUAUGUACUUUUUAAUCCAGUUUUCAGCACACUUUUACCAAACACUUUCAAUCUUGGUAUUUUUUAACUAACAGGCUUUUACCCCAGCUCAGGCAACAGGACUUCUAGGCAGAUUUAUGUCCGAUUCUAGGACGACAAUCAGAGGUUAACACCUUGGUUUGUACCAAUGUUUGGCGAUGUAAGAGGACUUACAGAUCAACUAUGAACGUUAAACCUCCAGAACUGUUUGUCAGAGAAGCUAAGGUCACUUUGCAUUAGCUUGUAGCCUCUCUGGCUUGUAUCCAUCAAGGAAACACUUACUUUAAAAGUAAACUGCUUUAUUCAGUGCUGAAGCAGCUUUACUCUCUGGGUCAGUUUGUUUUGGAGAGGAGGAGAGACCCCUGGGAACAUUUUGACCAUAAUGGCAAACUAUGAGUUGCUAUGCUGUCUUUGAUUUGCUUUGAAUGAGGUCCCCCAGUGAAAAAGUCCUCACUAAGCUCAUGUAUCGGAAAAUAGAUAUUGGAUCUCAGCCACUGCUGUGAUGUCACAGAGACGUUUUGCUUUUAAUUAUUUAACAGUUGUUUUGUCUUUUUAAUAUAUGUAGGCUAUUUUCUGUUUUGAAUCUGUUUAUAUUCUGUUUAGCAUUGUUUGAUACGUUUAGUCUGAAAUUUCAAUGAAUUAAUUAAAUCCUCAACAUUGAUUACAGCACUACUGGAGGGUGAUUUUGAUGUAGACUAUGCUUCUUAAAGAAUGAUUUCUAUCUGUUUUCUCAUAUUUUAAAAGGACGAAACUCACUGCAAAUGAAUGUUUUUUGGUUUUUUUUCAUUCACUGAAAGAUCUAGAUGAUGGCUUAUCUGGUUUCUUGUUAUUUACUCUUUUUUUCCUCACAAAAUUCUUAAUGCAUACAUGUAUUUGAUGUGGUAUACACUCCAAUAAACAUACAAUUCAC